CCCCUACCCAUCAGUCGUCCAGGAUGACCUUGACAAAACUGGCCACGUCUGUGUCUUUGGAGUCAUGCAAGGUGAAAAAUGGAUGUUUCUGCGUCGAAAAGAGGGGAAGCGAGGAGCUUGGAGGAAGAGGAGGAUAAGACCCUUUGGGGGAAGUGAGGCUCACCACUUGGAGAUGAAGUCUACAAAGUCUGGCGAGAAGCGGUCAGCAGGCAGCUGAGGAGAGGGCUCAUCCACCACCUGCUUGAGCUGCUGGAAGGGCGUACCCCAGGAUUCGUACGGGAACUUCAGGAUGGCCAACUCGAUCUAGAGUGGCAAGCACACCACAUACUGGAUAAACUGUACAGUGGAUAUAAGAGUCUACACAUCCCUGUUCACACCCUCUUAUAUGUGGCUUUAGAAUCACAUUCAAAGUUGGAUUAAAUUGGAGAGGGAAUACACCCGACACCAUUUUAAAGUGCCUCCAAUUAAACACAAGGUAUCCAAGUGGGCCCUUUUCCACCCAUAAUAUAUUCUUGAAGAACCUAAUGAAAUAAUCAACGUGAAUUAAUGGAAAUUGUGACAGCCGUAUU